GAGCUUCCCGCCUUUUGAGUGCAGGAAUAUAAUACAUGAGAUUGGACUUCAGCUGAAUCAAUCACAACCAUUUUCCAGUAACCUCUCAACUGAGGUUAUCACCUGGAUUGAAGUUUGGAAUGCUAAUACAACUUCAUUUACUCCCAGAUGUGAAGAAUUACAUCCUAUUUGGAAUGGAGAAUUUUAUCUAUUAAGUGUGUGAUUAAAUAAAACAACUCCAGGCCAGGCCCAAUGGCUUACACCUGUAAUCCUAGCACUUUGAGAGGCCAAGGCAGAAGGAUCACUUGAGCCCAGGAGUUUGAGG